GACGAACGCUGGCGGCGUGCUUAACACAUGCAAGUCGAACGGGAUGAUCUUAAAGCUUGCUUUUAGAGAAUCUAGUGGCAAACGGGUGAGUAACACGUAGACAACCUGCCGACAGGAUGGGGACAACAUUCCGAAAGGAAUGCUAAUACCGAAUGAAGCGGAGGAGAGGCAUCUCUCUUCCGUGAAAGAUGGCCUCUGAAAAUGCUAUCACCUGUCGAUGGGUCUGCGUCUGAUUAGCUGGUUGGUGAGGUAACGGCUCACCAAGGCGACGAUCAGUAGCCGGUCUGAGAGGAUGAACGGCCACAUUGGGACUGAGACACGGCCCAGACUCCUACGGGAGGCAGCAGUGGGGAAUCUUCCGCAAUGGGCGCAAGCCUGACGGAGCAACGCCGCGUGAGUGAAGAAGGUCUUCGGAUCGUAAAGCUCUGUUGACGGGGACGAACGUGCGAGAGGUGAAUAAUCUCUUGCAAUG
rnacentral:rRNA from 1 species